UCCUAAAAGAGGAUACAACUGCGACUCUGUUUGGGCCUGGAAAUUCACAAUCACAAACUGUGGUGAGGAUGCUGAUGCGGUCAGCAGGAUAGCCCAACAGACGCAUGUACAUGUAUAAGGCCACAGAAUACUCCGCCUCCGCCAGGUUCUUCACAGGAAGAGAGAAAAAUGCAGGUACUUGGAGCGGUCCAGUCCACUCCUCAGAAGCUCAAAGGCCCUAAACUCCUUCCAGGGAAAGCAAGAGAAAAGGUGUUGUGUGUGUUCUCUCCUCCUGUUUCCCACUGUCCUCACCUGCUGAAGUCCUUCUCAGUCUCCAACUCCUCUUCUCCGUGGCCCAGACGCAGGAGGUGGCGCUCAUCAAUGUCUAGAGCCAUGAUCUUUUCAAACAGCUGGUUCAGAGCCUGGUGUGGAAUAAACCGUUGCAACAAGACAUGGUCAGAUGUGGAAAUGCCUUUCUUUGAUGUGUAUAUAUUUUGUCAUCUAUCAACAGUACUUGUGCAUAUAAAACGGUUUUAACUUCCGGUCUCUUAAUAAUAUCUAUAAUGUGCAAUAUGUUUGAGAUAUUUAGCAUGCUAUGAAGAAAGUGUCUAUGUCUGUAUAAGAAUUAAAAAU